rnacentral:rRNA from 1 species
UACGUAGGCAGCGAGCGUUGUUCGGAGUUACUGGGCGUAAAGGGUGUGUAGGCGGUUGUUUAAGUUUGGUGUGAAAUCUCCCGGCUCAACUGGGAGGGUGCGCCGAAUACUGAAUGACUUGGAGUGUGGGAGAGGUGAGUGGAAUUCCUGGUGUAGCGGUGAAAUGCGUAGAUAUCAAGAGGAACACCGGUGGUGUAGACGGCUCACUGGACCAUAACUGACGCUGAGACACGAAAGCGUGGGUAGCAAACAGG